AUCGCUAUUCAGUUAAAUAAUAAUAUCCCAUAUUUAUUUGCUGCAAUCUUGAUUGCAAUCUGUAAUGGCCAGUAUAAAAGUGCUAAUUUUACCAACUUGAAUAUUUAAAAGCUACGGACGGGCUGUUCCGCUUAUUUAUUGUAAACCGCGAUGAAACAAAUUUAUUGUUUAAUAACCGUCGUCGUUCUAAUCCCGACACUCACUGCUCUUGAAAAUGAAGGGCAAAAUCCUGAUACAGCAAAUUGUGUUGCGCUAGGUGGACAAAGAAUCAAAGAUUCUGAAAUAGCAAAAAUGGCUCAUUGCAUUCUCACCAAAACGAAUUUAAUGACAGACAAAGGCACUUUUAAUAGUAAUCUUUUAAAGGAAAGGCUUAGACAAUCUGUGCACAGUGACGAAUUAGUGGAUAAAGUCGUCAUGAUGUGCACCGUUGAGAAGGAAACACCACUGAAGAGUGCAUUUUCGGGAUACAAAUGUCUGCGGUACCUUGUACCAUGGUUUCCGUUAGACUAAUAAAGAACAGUUUUCAAUACCCGACCCAAAAUAAAGUUUUAAGAGCA